rnacentral:rRNA from 1 species
UCCUACGGGGGGCAGCAGUGAGGAAUAUUGGUCAAUGGGCGGGAGCCUGAACCAGCCAAGUCGCGUGAGGGAAGACGGUCCUAUGGAUUGUAAGCCUCUUUAGGCGGAGAGCAAUGCCGGGCACGUGUGCCCGGAGGGAGAGUACCCGCAGAAUAAGCAUCGGCUAACUCCGUGCCAGCAGCCGCGGUAAUACGGAGGAUGCGAGCGUUAUCCGGAUUUAUUGGGUUUAAAGGGUGCGUAGGCGGAUUUUUAAGUCAGCGGUACAAUGUCCGGGCUCAACCCGCGCCGGCCGUUGAAACUGGGGG